GACGAACGCUGGCGGCGUGCUUAACACAUGCAAGUCGAACGGUGAAGCUCCAGCUUGCUGGAGUGGAUCAGUGGCGAACGGGUGAGUAACACGUGAGCAACCUGCCCCUGACUCUGGAAUAAGCGCUGGAAACGGCGUCUAAUACUGGAUACGAGAAGGGUCCGCAUGGGCACUUUCUGGAAAGUUUUUCGGUUGGGGAUGGGCUCGCGGCCUAUCAGCUUGUUGGUGAGGUAAUGGCUCACGAAGGCGACGACGGGUAGCCGGCCUGAGAGGGCGACCGGCCACACUGGGACUGAGACACGGCCCAGACUCCUACGGGAGGCAGCAGUGGGGAAUAUUGCACAAUGGGCGAAAGCCUGAUGCAGCGACGCCGCGUGAGGGAUGACGGCCUUCGGGUUGUAAACCUCUUUCAGCAGGGAAGAAGCGAAAGUGACGGUACCUGCAGAAGAAGCACCGGCUAACUACGUG
rnacentral:rRNA from 1 species